GUCGACGUAGUCGAGGCCGCGGCCGCCGGUGUAGAUCUGGCGCGGCCGGGAGAUCUUCUGCUCGCCGUCGAUGC
rnacentral:tRNA from 1 species